rnacentral:rRNA from 1 species
GACGAACGCUGGCGGCGUGCUUAACACAUGCAAGUCGAACGGAAAGGCCCUGCUUGCAGGGUGCUCGAGUGGCGAACGGGUGAGUAACACGUGGGUGAUCUGCCCCUUACUUUGGGAUAAGCCUGGGAAACUGGGUCUAAUACUGGAUAGGACCAUGCUGUAGGUGGUGUGGUGGAAAGAUUAGUUUCGGUAAGGAAUGAGCUCGCGGCCUAUCAGCUUGUUGGUGGGGUAAUGGCCUACCAAGGCGUCGACGGGUAGCCGGCCUGAGAGGGUGGACGGCCACAUUGGGACUGAGAUACGGCCCAGACUCCUACGGGAGGCAGCAGUGGGGAAUAUUGCACAAUGGGCGCAAGCCUGAUGCAGCGACGCCGCGUGGGGGAUGACGGCCUUCGGGUUGUAAACUCCUUUCAGCCAUGACGAAGCCCUUGUGGUGACGGUAGUGGUAGAAGAAGCACCGGCUAACUACGUG